CCAUGUCAUCAGGCCGUCUCCCCCUGAAUGAUGGGCGGAGCCAUGUGAUUGGCAGGCAGGAGUGGACGUCUGUGUUCAGCCACCUGCGAGACCAGCGCCUGUGGGUGUGUGAGCCUCUGCAGGACGUGGAGCAGGUGGUGCUGAACAGGAUGUGAGCUCUUACUUAUGACUGACCAGAUCAACAACCUCCUCACUGCACGCUGGACUCCCUCACACACACCAGCCUGUCAG